rnacentral:tRNA from 1 species
CGGAUGAUACCGUGGUCUCGAUGACCGUUGCCUACGGCGCGGUGUUGAGUCUUCUGGUUCAGGGGCAUGCGUUCGACACGGAACUGUCCGCC